UAUGUUAAAGGACACACACACACAAAAACUUUAAACACGCACAAAAGAAAAGCACAAUAAACAAGAAAAGUCCAAAUCUCGGACCAAAUAUUGGUUGUCAUCUCAAUUGGUGUCACCCAGAGGAAAAGGCGGCACUACCUGUUCAAAAUUAAAGGGGAUCAAACUUGAUUUGGCUCAUUCAUUAUGGAUACGAAUGCAAAAAUAUACUAGUUGUAACUGAGACUUGAGUUAUUUUUAUAAUUUUCCUUCGAUAAAUGAAACUCUUAAUUUCUUGAACUUUAAAUUUCUUUCUUAGUUUCAUUGGACCUUUGUUUUCCUUUUAUUUUGCCUUCUUAAAUUAAGACUCCUUAAAAAGAUGUCCUUCAAUUCAGUUCUUUUUUUACUAUAAGGGAGAUGUUUGUAUGAAAGAAAAUGCUCAUUUUCUAGAUUUAUAUAUGGUAUAGACAAGAAAAUAAUCAUUUUCAUCCGGAUGACAUGAGAAUAUCGAUGAAAAAGCUGGAUACUUACCAUCAUAUAAACCUUGCUACAUCAUUUGCGAAGAAAUUCCAGCUUGAUCUUCUUGAUAUUUGGCAGGACAUCUUUCAUGAUCAGCCUCUCAUUAGGAGAUUCAGCUGUG
rnacentral:lncRNA from 1 species